CCGUUCCAGACGCCAUCGAUCUUCUUUCCGUGCUUGCCAUUGGUGACCAGGUAGAGGUCGUAGCUGAAGCCGAUGCGUGGCCACCGUGAGGUGCUGCGUGUCGUCCACUGGCUGCAGGAAGCGACCAUAGCGGGACCACAGCGGGUACUUGAGGCGGAGCGUCUGCUGCUCCCAGCUGCCCACCUUGGCCAAAGGGAAAGAGAGUCAGGCUUCCUGGGAAGACUUCCCGGUGUAUCCUGGCCUCCAUGAUCCUCUUCCCUCAGACCUAGGUGUGUGGGCAGCAGCUUCUUCCAAGACCCAGGAGCCCCUCCCACCUUCAGAUCCCAGGACCCAGGAGUCCAGGCUCCUUGUCCCCUCCUCCCUCUUAGUCCACGACCUCAAGCCCCCCCUCUGCCAGGAUGCAGGAGUCCACACCCUCUGCCAUGCCUGAGGUCUGGGGCUACGACUCACCACCUCCCACGUCCUGUCUCUGGUGAGGGAGAUGACCACCAGGGAGGGGUUCACUAGGAAGCCGUCCUCAUUGAAGGAGUAAUCCCGGUUAUCCCACGUGAUGUUCAUGAAGUACCUGCCCAGGAGGAGGGAAAGGGGACAUGCUGGGGCCUGGGCUGGACCUUGGCAGCGGAAGGCAGAGAAAGUCCCCUUUCUGCAGACCAGCCCCAGCCCCCAGCUGGAAUCUCUCUUCUUUUACCUCCAAGGUCUCAAAAACACGAAUAUACCCCUUCCCUGCUCAGCACCCUCCCCUUGGCUGCCCAGUGCCCCCCAGGAUAAGGUUCCAGACUCUCUUUCAGCUUGGUGUUGAGGCCCUAGAGUCCCCUUUUCUUUCCUUCUUUUUUAAAGUAGAGAUGGGGUUUCACUAUUUUUCCCAGGCUGGUCUUUUUUUUUUUUUUUUUUUUUGAGACAGAGUCUUGCUCUGUCUCCCAGGCUGGAGUGCAGUGGUAUGAUCUUGGCUCACUGCCACCUCCACUUCCUGGGUUCAAGUGAUUCUCCUGCCUCAGCCUCCCAAGUAGCUGGGAUUAUAGACAUGCACCACCAUGCUUGGCUAAUAUUUUGUUUGUUUUUGUUUUUGUUUUGUUUUUUGAGACAGAGUCUUGCUCUGUCACCCAGGCUGGAGUGCAGUGGCAUGAUCUUCGCUCACUGCAACCUCCGCCUCCUGGUUCAAGCAAUCCUCCUGCCUCAGCCUCCUGAGUAGCUGGGAUUGCAGGUGUUCACCACCAUGUCCAGCUAAUUUUUGUAUUUUUAGUAGAGAUGGGGUUUCACCAUGUUGGCCAGACUGGUCUAGAACUCCUGACCUCAGCCUCAGUGAUCCACCUGCCUCAGCCUCCCAAAGUGUUGGGAUUACAGGCAUGAGCCACCAUGCCCUCUUUCUUUUUUUUUUUUUUUAAUGUGUGGUUUUUUUGUUUGUUUUUGUUUUUGUUUUUUGAGACAGAGUCUUGCUCUUGUUGCCCAGGCUGGAGUGCAAUGGUAUGGUCUCGGCUCACUGCAACCUCCGCCUCCCGGGUUCAAGCAAUUCUCCUGCCUCAGCCUCCUGAGUAGCUGGGAUUGCAGGUGUUCACCACCAUGUCCAGCUAAUUUUUGUAUUUUUAGUAGAGAUGGGGUUUCACCAUGUUGGCCAGACUGGUCUAGAACUCCUGACCUCAGCCUCAGUGAUCCACCUGCCUCAGCCUCCCAAAGUGUUGGGAUUACAGGCAUGAGCCACCAUGCC
rnacentral:lncRNA from 10 species